rnacentral:rRNA from 1 species
AUGAACGCUGGCGGCGUGCCUAAUACGUGCAAGUCGAGCGAACGGACGAGAAGCUUGCUUCUCUGAUGUUAGCGGCGGACGGGUGAGUAACACGUGGAUAACCUACCUAUAAGACUGGGAUAACUUCGGGAAACCGGAGCUAAUACCGGAUGAUAUUUUGAACCGCAUGGUUCAAAAGUGAAAGACGGUCUUGCUGUCACUUAUAGAUGGAUCCGCGCUGCAUUAGCUAGUUGGUAAGGUAACGGCUUACCAAGGCAACGAUGCAUAGCCGACCUGAGAGGGUGAUAGGCCACACUGGAACUGAGACACGGUCCAGACUCCUACGGGAGGCAGCAGUAGGGAAUCUUCCGCAAUGGGCGAAAGCCUGACGGAGCAACGCCGCGUGAGUGAUGAAGGUCUUCGGAUCGUAAAACUCUGUUAUUAGGGAAGAACAUAUGUGUAAGUAACUGUGCACAUCUUGACGGUACCUAAUCAGAAAGCCACGGCUAACUACGUG